UUUAUUUUAAAAUUAUUUUUAUAAUUAUUAGUAAUUUGACUGCAGCUGUUGAUGGUGAUGUGAUUUUUUAAGUAAUGUGUGCUUAGUCUUGUGAUGCAUAAUUCGUGUUUUCAUAAUAAUAUAUGUUCGUGUAAUUUACUGUAUCAAGAAAGAAGAACGAUAACAGAAGAAAGAAGAGAUAAUAUAUUUUUGAUCCGUCAAGCCAACUUUGAUGUUUGGUGGAUGGAAUUUUCCCUCAUAUCUUGGAUGGAAAAAAUUCUUAGACGUUCCAGCUAAUACAGUGUCUAUAGUUUGAUGACCACUACUACAUGAAGGAGAGUUGAGCAGUAAUUAAUUUGGUAGCCGGACGAGAAAUUCGAGUCAUUUGGAUCGGGUCUCUUUGCAAAGGGUUAUUUUCCAAAUUUCAAUUUAGUUUCUAACCCAGAGGAGGGAUCUCCCGGGGCAAAUGGCUUGGAGAUUAUCAACUAUAUAUGGCUAUAUUCAUCUUCGUUGGAUGGAUGUCGAGGACUUUGGGAUAUAUCUUCAUUGUUUGAUGGCAAAAUACGGGAGAAACUUUGAGCAAAGCUGCCUUUUAGCUGUCCGCAUCGUUAUUCGACGUGGGAUGUGCUGAUUCAGUGAGUCUUUAUAAACAAUAUUAAACAAUGUUGUGUCAGCGCUGACCCUAAUAUGUUUCCUCCUUCACCA